AGACACGUGGGACCGGCGGCGGGGGAAGAAGUGCAACAGCCCCGGGAGGAGCGGGGAAAGUGUCGGGGGACGGCGGACUCACCCGCAGCGCUCGGCCUGGCCCCUGCCCAGCACGGCGCGGCCCCGGGGCGGGCGGCGGCGCGGAGCGGCUCGGGGCUGCCUCUCCGUCCCGUCCCUCCCUCCCGUCCCUCCGGCACGCCGAGCCCGGGCGGCGCGGCGCGGCGGCGGCGUGCUCCGCCGCUCGGUAAAUAACAAUAGAGCCCUCCGCUCUGCUCCGCUCGGGGCCCCGCACGCCGCCCCGCGCCGCGCCCCCGCCCCGCGGCCCCCCCCUCCCCGCCCCGCGCAGCCCCGCGCCGCCGCUCGCUCCGGGCGGGCUGGGGGCGGCCCUCGCCACCCCCGCGGAGGGAGAUGUUGUUAUUUUUUGCUGUUGUCAGUCUCUGACGUCACAUCCACCUGCUGGUUUCAGAUCCCGACGGAGAGCCGGCACCGAGCGGCCGCGGGAGCAACGCGGCGGGUUGCGGGAAGCGAGGGGAGCCGGAGCGGGGCCGGCGGAUGCUGCAGUGAGCGGGCGGCCCCGAGUUACCGACUUUGUUCGCUACAAAUUCUUUCCUCGCGGCUGCGGGAACCCGUUCGGAACCUAUUUUCUUCCCCCUCUUUCGGAUUUAGUAUUUGUUGUUGGUUGUUUUUUGGGUUUUUUGUUUGUUUGUUUUUUUUGCGUUCUGCCUUCCAGCGGGGCUGAAACAAAGCUCCCGGGGGGGGUGGGGACAGCUCUCCGUGCGCGGUACCGCGGCAGCAGCUCCGUAUGGCGGCUACGCGGGGCGCGGAGCUCCGCAGGUCCCCCCCCGGGCGCGGAGCCGUUCGCCCCCCGCCGCGCUCCGCUCUCGGGGCCGAGCCCGCGGCGCCACCUCCCGGCGGCAGCGCCCCAUGGAGCGGGGAGCGCCGCGCAGCGCACCUGGGUGCGGGACGGGCCGUGUGCCGGUUCGUCCUUCGUGCCGUUGGGGAAAAUCGCUGUAAAUGAAGAGUCGCGGAGGUGAUGUUUGGGUCGCGCGUCGCGGGCCAGCAGGCGCCCAGGAGCUGCGCAACAGAAAGGAAGCCCCAGCUUUAACCCCACGUAGCACGCAUUGUUCUGAGCUGCUGAAAAGAAGAUAACUGCAUUAAAAGAACUUUUCUAAAGCACCCCUCCCUCCCCCCCACCCCGUACUGUUCUGAGAGAGAUUUGGUGUACAUUUCAUCCUGGAAUAAACACUGUUUAUCAGAAACUCUCUCUGUUGUU
rnacentral:lncRNA from 1 species